rnacentral:rRNA from 1 species
CAAUAGCGUAUAUUAAAGUUGUUGCAGUUAAAAAGCUCGUAGUUGGAUUUCUGGUAGGAGUGACCGUUCCGAACUUGAUUGUUCGUGUAUUGUGUUUUCUCCAGCCAUCCUUGUGGAGAACUUUUCUUGCAUUAAUUUGUAGGGAUUGGGACCCGCAUCGUUUACUGUGAAAAACUUAGAGUGUUUAAAGCAGGCAAUCGCUUGAAUACAUUAGCAUGGAAUAAUAAGAUAGGACUUUGGUACUAUUUUGUUGGUUUGCAUACCAAAUUAAUGAUCAACAGGAACAGUUUGAGGAUAUUCGUAUGAACAUGUCAGAGGUGAAAUUCUUGGAUUUUGAUCAGACGAACUACUGCGAAAGCAUUUAUCAAGGAUGUUUUCAUUAA